CAAUAACUACAACUUCGGCACUGAGCAUAGGCAGAGGGAGAAAAUCUUAUUUGGAGGGGCUGAGUAAAACUUAAACUUAAAAGAUAUUUCUACACGC